CUCAUCUCAAGACAUUUAGAUAAAUACUUUCCCAAACAUUAUAUAAUCCAAAUGUUCUUGUGUAAAUAGCAAUGCAAACUUCAAAAUAUUGUCUAACGAAUAUAAAUGAAUACAGAUUAAAGAAAUUUCAGUCAACAUACACUGGGCAUUCAGUCACAGAAUGUAUAUCAUCCUCAAUUUUUUGCAAUGUGCAGUGUAAACAUUUGUUAAGUGUUCUAUUCACAUAAAUUUUGGAAUAUGCAUUGUGUAUCAGUCUCGCCCGUUAAUAGAUGUAUGCUUUUUCUUAUCUACAGAUUGAAUACCUUAAUCUAGAAUCGUUUAGAUCCAAAUAUUUUUAAAACAAAAUAGAGUUUUACAGGAAAAAUAAGUAUUAAGUUUACCUUGAUCUGAUCGUUAUACUUAUUUCUAUUUUCCUUCCAAAAAUGGAAAUAGGUUUUUAUAAAGAUUAUCUUUAAUACAUUUUGUUGAUUAUAAAUACUGGUUUCUAAGUUACAUGUGUGUAUGCCCAGCUUUUGUAAAAUAUAAGCUAUGAUUAAGAACCAUGCAUUCAGUUUAUUAUUGUACAGUUCUUUACUGCAUAUAUAUAAUAUGCAUCAUAUAAUACGAUUUAUUAUAUACUUUGUAGUAAAUACAGACAAAUUGUAUGUGUAAUACAAUCAAUGGCAAGCGUGCUGUAUCAGCCACCCGUGAUGAUAUUGAUAUCAGCACGGUUGCAAAAGCUUUAUCACACCUUUAAUCUGUAUGACGUCACGUCAUCGAUUGCAGUCACUGUUGCAAAGGCUUUCAAUCUCCUUUUCUGUAUGACGUCAUGUCACAUAAAAAACAUCUACUUGAGAUAUAUGUAUAUAAUAAAGUGUAUAUGAUAUGGCUUUUUCAAUAUCACACACCGUAUCAACCCUCAACCAAUAUAAUCCCUCGAGCAAAGCUCUUGCGAUUAUAUUGGUGUCUCGGGUUGAUACGGAUGCGAUAUUGAAAAAGCCAUAUGAUAUUCUCUAUGUAACAUGUUAUUAUAAUUGUCUAGCCAAAGAUAAUACUGUAACAGUGUUUAUGUAAUAUGUUGUUUAUUUUUUUUAUACGUACUGUUAUGAAAUCCGUUUGAAGCAACUUGUGAAAGUGAUGUACCGUGAGUGCCUGUGUGCCUUAUAUGUUAUAUAUGUGAAUCUUCGGAUCAUUUAUUUUGUAAACUGUAAAUUAUGUAAAAUUUCGCCUAAAAUAGAAUUAUAAUAAAUAAUGAAUUAGUCGA
rnacentral:lncRNA from 1 species